rnacentral:lncRNA from 1 species
UGCUGUAUACAUGAUCACACCCAUGGAGGCUCCGGUAGGAAAUUCAUAAAGCGACUUCUCGACCACGCUGAUAGUCGCCACGCCCUGCAUUAAUAAUCAUUCCCCAAGUCAAAUCGAUGAUCCCGACCACCCAUUCCCCCACUCCCCAGCGAUAACGAAGCGUCACAUGGAGGAGUACGCCACUUCUAUCCUACAACAGCAUUCCUCUCGUCAUUAUUAAUGUGGGGCCUAAACCUGUACGAGUUUAUCGAAGUGGAACGGUCAUCAUCAACUCUUCCUGGUGACUUCACAGAGCUCAUUUGCAUCAACUAUUAUUAUGAUGAAAAGAGGAAGGAGCUCUGAUACCAUGUUACGAUGAAGAGAGGAACGGAUGAAGCAGAUGAACCCGCAUGUGAAAAGAGUUCUUCUACCAUGUACGAGUUCUUCUAUCUUGGUGGAUAGAGGGGAGGGGCAGAGAAAUGUUAGAAUGCCUGAAUCAUGACAGUCUAGGGAACCCGCACUGACAUGAUUCAGGCAUCCUAACAACAAUAAAAGGGAGACCGUCAUAACAGUGCGGGUUCCCUCGAAUGUCAUGAUUCAGGCAUCCUGACAACAGUAAAUGGGAGAUCGAAACUCCUAUCCUAUGAAUAUAAAAUACACUUUAAACCGGCUUCCCAGAUAGAAGCAGUUUUCUUGCCUUAAGAUCACUCUUCAUGGAUCAUACGACCAGUGUUCAGAAGCAAAAGUAAAUUCGUGAUUUAGUUUCAGCAGAUGAUGUAAAUAAGCACGCUGGUGACUUUCGGGAUUAGGCGUUGGGCACUCGUUGGCCAUCUCUGCAAGUUAAUAACGGCAUAAGAUGCCAAUAUCUUAGAAAUAAAAUCCAGCAAAAAGAAACAAGUAUGCUCUGUUUCCGUUUGGUCCGUUCCAUCCAAAAUAGUUUCCCAUUUAUAGUUUGAAGCGCCCAUUUUCCGCCAUAUGAUGACAUGUUUGCCUACAGGGUAGCAUAGCUCCCGGCAGCCCCACUGCCAUAACGAGAUGUGCCCCCUCCAAACUACGUAUCCUGCUUAUCCCCUCUCUUCGGAGGCCUCCAACGGUACGCUGUUCCUUUGCAAUGUGAAAAGAAAUUGAAGCAUAUGAUCCUAGAAAUGUUCUUUUAAACAGGCGAGCAUCGCAAAAACACAUUAUUUAGAAGUCAACUCAGAAGAAAACGUGUAACGAGGACGGAUGUUACAACUACUGGCUGAAAUGGAUAAAUAGAUUGCUCACUCGUACUCCCAUGAACUUUUUUGCCGUGUAUGCUCUUCGAAACUUAGUUGGGUACGAAAAGCUUUCGGGACUGAAUUCUUUAGUAUCAUACGUAAAAGUGAAGGCAUCCUAAAACUUGAAAAGAAUCUAACUGAGUUAUUGAUUAUGAACAAGCAUAUCUUAGGUUAUGCAUACAUCAUUUCCCGGACUUAUUUGAUGGAUUGCCUUUGAAAUUCUCCCUGUUAAGUAUCUCAAAGAAAAAUGUUUACCUCUGGAUAAACAUCAAUUUAGGUUUCUAAAUUGAUAGAGAUCUCUCAAAAUAUGACCAGUCACGUCUGGUGAUGCGCAAGUAGAUGGUUAAAGGUCGUAUGUUUCUGGUGAAAGUGAAUAAAAAUGGCUGAAAUAAAGAAAAAGAAUGAGUCGAAAGUAUAGCUGGCAGUUCGUCUUUUUGAUAUGUGACAUAUUAAUAAAAGACUAGUCAUGGAAACCAUAUUAUAGGAAGCCUAAUUGAGAAACUAUCAUAUUCUACGAGGGCAAUGAUGGCAUGGCUUGGAGAAGACAAUUAACUUCUUAUACCAACGGGGAAAUAAAGGCCACAAAAUUAGACUUUUCGUUGAAAGAAAAACUGCCAUUAGAAUAUACAAGUGAGCUAUGCAUACACCUCUCAGCUUACACAGUUUCUAAUGCAUGACUUAUGUAAUGGGGUAUUUAUAACAUAACUUUCUAAGUUUCCUUGACACCACUACACUGAUAUCAACUGUAAAUUUCAUUUGUGACAGGAUAUUUAUUCAGCUGUAGCACCAGCAUAAGUUCCUUAGACCUUGGUGGACCAGGUUCUUGCAACCUAUUCUCUUUUUCAGGAAAAACCUAAAUCAAAUUCAUGUCAUCUAGAUAAAUUUCUUAAAUAUCAUUUAACAUUAGAAUAUGGUAUUGGAUUAUUUAAAUUCAGCCACUUUUCUUCUUUUGAAUUUUAAUGAUAUCAAUAUGAAUAUUUUUCAUUUAAAUUUUAAAAAUCCAUAUUUCAUGGUAUGUGAGAGGAAACCAAACUUUAAUGAUCCACCCUUAUUAAUAAGUGUCCAAAGUAAAAUAUAACCAUUAAGUAAGCUGUAAUCAUCCGAAAAUACAAUAAAUUCACCCAGAAAAUAGUUUUCUAAGCCACAGAGCAUCUAAUAAAGCUGUAUGACUUAGCCUAGCAUGAAACCUUUUACUUGUUGAGAGGAAAACCUGAAAGACAUUUUAACAAGUUGAAACAUACCAUUGAUAUAUCCAAGAUAAAUGGUUCACAAACCUCAUCUCUAUCCCAUUCUAAGUGUUUUUCUAGUUUAUAUUGUCUCAAAAUAAGAAUUAAUUCCUCUAAAAAUGCAGCUUUUAUCAAAAGUUUCUUUGUUGAGAGGCCCUUUCCUCAUUUAUAUUUUUUUUUGAGAAUACAACAAGUAUGUCAAAUGAGAAUAAGGUCUCUUAUAGCAUGAUCUGUUGAGUUAAGAAUUAACUCAUGAUGAUUUGAUGACUUUGAGAUCAAUAUGAAAUCAUGAAAUUGAUAUAUGUGUUGUAAUAUAAUAGACGAUUAAUGAAUUAAAUGAUAUUGAAGAGUUGAGAUUACUUCAAUAAUGAUCUAUGGUCUACAGCACAGAAAAUAUCCUAUUCUAUUUAAAAUUAUCUUCAUGGAUUUGAUUGCUAGAUAGUGUGGACAUGAAAACAUUGAAAUAUCUGUGUAAUAAAUAUAUUAUUCUCUGAUGUGUAAGUCUUAAUGUUUGAAUUUUAUCUAUCAAAUGACUUAAAUAAUAGAGAUGUAUAAGUACUCAGCAUAAAGGUAUUAAAAUAAGUAAUGUUGUAUAAACAUUUCAGACAAAAUAAACCACUCAUUAGUUUGAUACUGAUUCUAUAAGAUUAAUGAUAUAAAAUACUCACACAAAGUUAAAAAUGAAUAUAAGUAUGAUCUUUGCUACUCAAUAAAAUUUUAAUCUCAGACAAUAGGUGAAAAAUAUAGCUGUGUGAUAAAACAUUAGAAAGAGGACUUAAAGAGGAAUCUAGAAUCGAAAAACCGUUCCCAAAAAAGUUAAUGAUCAAGAGAAAUGAAUAUGUCGUUCUUUAUUGUCUAUUUUUCCGUAUUUUUAGGAUCAUGAAUGGCCUGUUAAGUCCCAUUUUAAGUCAACAUUUGACCUGACAAGAAAAAAAGCAAGCAGCCAACCCUAUCAAAAAAUAUGAAACUUUGUCCACAUUAGGGUUCAAAAGGCAAAAAUAUAUUUCUAGGCAAUGACUACUGUUCCAACUAAAACUCCUCACCAUUAACACAUUUCAACUCUCCAAGUUAGAACUUUGAGAUCGAUUGUUUCAAGAGAGAUUUGGACACCUUUUCAAUCAUUAAAAAGUUUCUUCAUUCAGCCCUAUAUUCAUCAACACCUUCAAAAAUUAUUUCUGGACAGAAACAUAAUUUGAAAGCUAUAAUAAAAUUAAUUUUUAUUUCUAUCUUCAUAUGUGAUGUGUUAAGCCACUUAUCAAGUAUAUGUAAUAUGUUUUCCUUGAUGACCCAUACUUGUGGCAUGUGUGGUGGCUUGAGAAGCGAUGUGGUGCCUUGGGUGAGUGGGCAAAUACUUAUGGUGUGCUUAGUCAUUUCGCAUAGUUCUUGUGUUGAGUAAAUUCCUUCUCAACACUUGUGACGUGUUGAUUGUAGAGUGAAGAUUGUGGUGAACUCAUCUAAGUAAAGACUACUAAAUGUAUGACUAUAAUAUAGUUACAUAAGCUUGAUGAGUUUAUGAUGCAAAGGGGAACUAAGCCCAUGAGUACAAUCACAAGGUGUGCUUAGUGAAAACCAAAAGUCAUUGACUUGAGAAGUUGAUGGGAUCAAUCAGCAAGUCAACACAAGUCAACCCCCCGACACCCCAAGAGCCCAACAAGGAACGUCAAGAUUAACAUUACCACGAAGGACUGUAAAGAUUAGAGUGGACCCUAACUUGGGAGUCAACUUAAUCCAAGUUUCUCAGCUUCUACCUCAUUUAGUGAACUCUAAUUGGAAUAUUGGGUCAACUGUUAUUGGGCCCUUUUGAUCCAAUAAGAGGAUCCACCCAAAUAAGUGGGCCCAUGAAGUGGAAGAAGAGGUUAUAGAAGAGGAUGAAAGAGAUGCUGACGGAAACUCACCUCUUCAUCCAAGGAGUCCUUUGAUGGAAGCAACCCUCUGAUGUGUCUUUUGGUACCCUUUGGGGUUGUUUCCCCAUAACCACCUAUUUCCUCUCUCUAUAAAACAUAAAAAUGAUUGUAAACAGCGCAGACAGGAUGAAUGAAUAACUUUUCUUCCCCUUUGUCUCUCCCAGUUCUCGGCUUACCCUCUCUCUCUCCCUCCUGCCCGUCGCCUCCUCUCCCUCUCCCACGCACAACGCCCUUCAUCUUUCCUUCUUUCUCUCCUUCUCUCUCGCCCCUCUCGCGCGUGUCUCUUGUCCCCGCGCACGUCGCCCCUCUCUCUACCUCUCGCGCGUUCUCCCUCCCUCUCUCUCUCCUCCACAUCGCCCCCCCUCUCUCUCACCCGCACAUCAUUCUCCCUUCUCUCUCUCCCGCUCACGCGUUCGCCCUCCC